UCCACGCCCUAAACGAUGUCAAUUAGCUGUUGGGGGUUAGAAUCCUUGGUAGCGUAGCUAACGCGUGAAAUUGACCGCCUGGGGAGUACGGCCGCAAGGUUAAAACUCAAAGGAAUUGACGGGGGCCCGCACAAGCGGUGGAUGAUGUGGAUUAAUUCGAUGCAACGCGAAGAACCUUACCUGCUCUUGACAUGUACGGAAUUCUGCAGAGAUGCAGAAGUGCCCGAAAGGGAG
rnacentral:rRNA from 1 species